CUGUAGUCAGGCCCAUUUCAGGCUGUGGAUGCUAUGGAUACAGACCUACAGACUGAUUUCCUGGCUUGGACUUGGGCCUGUCUUGUCACCAUGGACCUCUCUAGUGAUCCCUGGGCUGUGCCUGACCUAAUUACCCUGGUUUCAUCGUGACUCUGACUGGUGCUCGCUGUCUUAUCACCGUGAGGUGAGCUCUUGGAUGACUCUGGCUGUCACUCUGGGACUGCCCUGCUCAUCUUGCUCAGUGUGCCUGGCUCUUGCGCUCUGAAGAGGAUGCUCCGCUCCGCUCUGCAGCAAUGCAUCCAGGAGGACAGCAGUUAAGAUGUGGGCCUUAUUUUCCUGCCCAAAUCCCGCGGGGGAAGAAGCAAUCACAUGCUAUUCGUUGCUUCAAGACUAUUGAAGAAACCACUGCUAUUGAACUGGCAGGGGAUCUUUCCUUCUGUGACCUUUGCCAGAGCAUCUGAUUGGUGUGCCCCAGCUGCAGGCCCUCAUUUUCUUGGGAAAGUUUUAAGAUAGUCUGAAAAGCAACCCUCUUCUUUCCUAGCCCUUCCUGACUUGUAUGGGCUCUUCCUGGCCUUUCCAACUGCAGUGUGAAGGGGAUUGUUUGUUUUCUUUUUAAAUGUUAUCCUGCCUUCCUCCUCUUUUUUUAACAAAACUGUACGUGAAGACUCGCUAUGAAUUGAGCAUGGCACAUGGAUGGAGUGGCUGCUUUGAACUACUUUUGCAACAAUGGAUUCUGCUUGACUGAUAAUGAAACCAUGGGAUAGACCUCAGGGAGAGGUCCUGAAGCUGGUUUCUGGAUUUAAGGUUCCUCAUUCUCAGCAGCUGUCUCCAGUAUCUGUGGAAAUGGGAGAAAGUUGCAUCAAGAUGUGUAUGCUCGCAAAGGCUUGUAUGCUGCCCUUUUCCUGACUUGGUCCUGUGGGUUUUUUGAUGCUUUUGAAGUGCUUCCAGAUCAUACCUAAAGCUCAACCCAGAGUCGAGCACCUUGUUAGUGACUCUCCUGAAGGCCGAGGUGUGGUCCAGAGUGUAAAGGCUUACGUCGGGGAGCUGCGGGGGGACUCUGGCUUCUGCUCCUGGCUCUGCUGCUGCUUCAGCUGAAUGCUCUUGGCAGGCGCGAACUCGGAGCUGGACUUUAGCGCAGCAGGAGCGGGGAAAGUCUCCGGGAAAAGCUUUUUGUCCGAAGGCGCACGGGCUGCCGGCACCCUGCAAAGGCGAGCAAGGCUUUGCAGAGCGGCUCCUACCACCCGGCAAACUUCUUGGAAAGAAAAAGAAAAGGAAAAAAAAAAAAAAAAGAAUAUAUAAAAGAAAUGAAAAGAAAGAAAGGAAAAGAAAUAAAUGAAAAGAAGGAAAGGAAAGAGAAAGAAAGGGAAAAGAAAGAAUGAAAAAAGGGGGAAAAAAAAAGAAAAGCACACACUUUUUUUACACCUCGCCCCGAACUUUUAUUUCCAGCAUGUCCGCCGCCGCUCAAGGCCGGGGCGAUGUGUCCCCCCCGCCCACCCCUGCCCGAUGCUCCCGGCCGGGCUCCGUUCGAGGCUGCCGGGACCCCCCCAGCCCCCCCCGCACCCCGGGCCCCCUGCACCAAGCGGGCCGCUGCGGCUAUUUCCGCACGGACAGAUGCUCAGGAGGGCAUUUUAAAGGCGGGUGCGCUAUCUACCCCCUUUUUCCUUAUUAUUUAUUUUUUUAACCCUCCCCCCAAAGUGCUCAGCCCCUCGUCCCGCUCCCCCCCCGGGCAGCCCGCAGCGGGUUUAGCGCAGCCCCGGCUGCACUUUUUGCAGCGCCCAGUAGACGGCACACUCAAUCCUUCAAAUGCAAAGCAGCCGAGCGGAUUUAUUUAUUUGAUUUGAUUUUUUAAUUAAGCAGCCAGAGUUUCACCCAACGUUUCGGUGCCUUUGUUUUUUUUUUUUUUUUUUUUUUUUAAUUAUUUAUUAUUAUUAUUCAACGAGUGGCGCGGAGAG